rnacentral:rRNA from 1 species
AAACCAACCGGGAUUGCCUUAGUAACGGCGAGUGAAGCGGCAAAAGCUCAAAUUUGAAAUCUGGUACCUUCGGUGCCCGAGUUGUAAUUUGGAGAGGGCAACUUUGGGGCCGUUCCUUGUCUAUGUUCCUUGGAACAGGACGUCAUAGAGGGUGAGAAUCCCGUGUGGCGAGGAGUGCGGUUCUUUGUAAAGUGCCUUCGAAGAGUCGAGUUGUUUGGGAAUGCAGCUCUAAGUGGGUGGUAAAUUCCAUCUAAAGCUAAAUAUUGGCGAGAGACCGAUAGCGAACAAGUACAGUGAUGGAAAGAUGAAAAGAACUUUGAAAAGAGAGUGAAAAAGUACGUGAAAUUGUUGAAAGGGAAGGGCAUUUGAUCAGACAUGGUGUUUUGUGCCCUCUGCUCCUUGUGGGUAGGGGAAUCUCGCAUUUCACUGGGCCAGCAUCAGUUUUGGUGGCAGGAUAAAUCCAUAGGAAUGUAGCUUGCCUCGGUAAGUAUUAUAGCCUGUGGGAAUACUGCCAGCUGGGACUGAGGACUGCGACGUAAGUCAAGGAUGC